rnacentral:lncRNA from 1 species
UGCUCUGGUGCGACACAAUGAUCGCUGCGUUGCUUCUCCGUCCAAACUCUAACCCUAGCUCGCGAUUCUCCGGCAUGGACGUCUCCCUCUACGGUCGACGGCGUCGCUUUUUCGUAAGAAAUUCCCCCGUUUCUUGCUUCUUUUUCUUCUCUAGCAAGAAAUGGGAUUCCUUAGCUGGUGAUUUCGUGCUUCGAGCCGCCGUUGAAGAUCGCGGAGAAUCCUAACGCGUCUUGAGGUCGAGGAACAAGCGCAUGAAAACGUCGGAUGAUAAUUCCUUAGCUGGUUAGAUGUUUAAUGUCAUUUACAAGUAUGUCAUCCUUGUCUUGGUUUUGUCAUGCUCGAAAUCAGUAAGCUAAAUUGCAUCACAUAUGCCCAAUGUUACAAGGCGCAAAACUUGGUUGGAUUCCACUAUAUUGUAUAUCUGGCUGUUAAUUUGGGAGAAUGUGGAAAGAAUGAGAACUCUGGAGUUUUUUUAAGCUAUUUGGUGUUCAAACAAGAUAUUAUAUGAUAUUGGUUAUGCUUUUGCAAUUCGUUUGGAUUCUGAACUAGUAAUAACUAUCCAAUGAGUAAGAUCUCUUGGUUGAAGACCAAAAAAGUAUCCUAAUUUAUUCAUGUUGAUACUUGGUAGACUUGGAAGUUACAAAGCAUUUAAGUAGCCACAGUUGUUUUACUUCCAAGUCCUAUUUAAAUCUUAGUAGAUAAGCUGCCGAGCAGCACUAAAAUUCCUUCAAGUUGAAAACAGUGGAAGUCUUAAACAAAUUCCUUUAAAAUAGCAGAGCCAAGAGAAUCAGCAAAAACAAACAUAUAACUUGGUUCAAUUUCAAACUCAAACAGGAUAUCGUUUUAUAGAUAGACUUGUAGGACCCUAAUCUAGAUUUUUAGGCUGCAUCAAAUCUGCACUUGAUGCAGGACUAUUCCGUAGAGUCCUAGCACUUUGAUUAUUUAAAAAAAAAAAUUUCAGCAGCCUGUAAAUUAAAAGAUUUAACGAACUCAUGGAGACCCUGUCUUCUGCUUCAGAUGUCAAAAACUUGCAACUUUUUUUGUAAUAUUUUUUCAUAUUUAUUUGCACAUUUAGAAGCUCAGGUAAAAAGUUCAGUUCCUCACUUCAGUACUUUAUGGUGAUCAUGAGACUCUUAUGACAUGUAUGCGUAAUAUAUAUAGCUCAUCUAUCUGUGGGAGCUAUCAAAUAUUGCAGAAACCACAAUUUCAUUUCGCCUUUAGUGUAAUGUGAGAUCAAAUCAUCAAAUCUUUAGAUCUUUUCAUUUUGGAGUUAUGUUAAUUCGUGUUGAUCUAUCAUGGAAAGAUUUGGCACGUUGUUUUUCAUAUGAUGAUAAAUGUGUGUAAAUCUCCAAAUCACAUAGCUGAUUACUGAACCACCUGUUCAUUCAUUUUCUCCAAAGCACAUAGCUGAUUACACAACCUCUGGAACUUUCAUUUCUGAUUUGUUUGUUGCUUGGAUAAGAUUUUGCAUGCCUUAGUAUGUUUCCUACUGCCUUUAUUGUCAAAACCCUUAAUUUUAGCAGUCACAGAAAUGUUCAGAAACAAAGGCUUAGUAUGUAUGUAAUUUUUCAAAUGGUUCUUAUGUAAUAAUAAAUAACUAGCAGGGCUGUUGCGUGCUUCUCAAAAUCCAAAUCAUAUUGUACUAGUGAUCCAUAUUCACUCCAUUAUGUGGGAACUGCUCUCAGCAUGGCCUAUGUCCAUGUAUCAGUAUAUGCAGAGCACCAGUUCAGCGAGCAACAGUGUAUGUAUAAUCCCUUCAUUAGGAAAUUAAUAUAAACUCUUGUAAUAAUAUGCUAACUGGACAAUAUAGAUAUUUACUUGUAAUGGUGCGAAGGGGUCACAAGUAUUAAACGACCACACAUGUAUGUGCACCAGUAAUUCUUGACCAUGGUGGUAUCAGCAUAAGUCACGGUCAGACAAGAUGUGGUUGCUUGUUGGUUUUCCAUUCUGCAAGCAGACAAUUGGAGGAACAGUUGGGGUGUACAGUUCACCAAAGGCCUGCCAGCAGAAUGGUUGAUACAUGUGAUAAUGCUCUUGUAGUGGUUCAAGCUGAAUCUUGGUUAGGCUGAUGUCUGAACAUGGAGAGGCAUCGCUGCAAGCAAAGUGCACUGGUUUAACUGUGUAGGUACCUCUGAUAUUCUCAUAUGCAAUGCCUGACAGUGUCACUGCUGAUGUCUGGUUCUUGCAUGAGCUUCUGUCACAGUAAAAUUGGUCUAUGACAAUUGGAGUUUGAACCUCUGAUACUCCUAUGUUUGAGAAAAUUAUGUUCUGGACAGAGCCUGAUCCACCCUGGAAUGAUACAAUAUGUAUGCAGAUAACCAUUAGUACAUCCAUGUAGCUUAAGGCCUGAAGAAAGUAGCUAUUCUAAGAAGUGUAUUGGUAGCAUAAAGAAUUUGGAUUAUUGUUGCUAUCAUGCUAUGUCAACUGUAAAUUCUUGACAGAAGAGAACAAGCCUUUUUUAAGAAGCCUAUCUGACAAAAUUUUGAAGUGUUUAAAUAAUCAUAACUUUCCUGGAGCUGCUCGAGCAUGUUACCUGCCAGGUCUUGAUUCUGACACCGGUCAUGGUGUUGUGCAUAUUGACAUCCCUUACUGUUAUGUUAGAAACACAUGCUUUGGUGUUGUCUCUUCCAAGGCCUCCUAUGCUGAUUCCAUGGCCGGGCCCACAGUCUACUCUGUGUAUGUUAAUGUUUGAGCACCCUGUUUGGAUGGAGAUGCAGUCAUCACCUAUAUUAUAAGAAACACAAAAUCCAUUACAUUGGCAAAAUGAUUUACAUUAAUUUAUAAGUGCAGCAUGAUGUAAGUGCUAGAUAAUUUUGUUUAUAUGAAUGGUAAACGUAAUGUACUUUCUUUCUCAAUAUUUCCUUUUCUCUUCUUGCAGGUGAAAGAGUGGGGAGAGGAAAUGGUCUCCCACCAGUGGAAAAAUCCUAAUUCUUAGGUCAUUAUUGUAUAUUAAAUAAACAUCUAGAAAGAUGAUGCCUAACAGCAUGAGGAGUGAUGAUGCCUAACAGCAUGAGGAGUUGCAAAAAACCUGAGCUGUUAUUAGAACAGGGAAGGACUAAAAUUGUUCGAAAAAAAAAUGAAGCCAAUUUGAUCUAUGAUCUCAUAUUCUUAUGAGAGCGAACAGUUGCCAGAAUAAUUAUUCUGUAUGUCAUCAGAAAGGAACUCCCUGAACAAGCUAGUCGACCAUACCGC